CCUACGGGAGGCAGCAGUGAGGAAUAUUGGUCAAUGGACGGAAGUCUGAACCAGCCAUGCCGCGUGCAGGAAGACGGCUCUAUGAGUUGUAAACUGCUUUUGUACAAGGGUAAACCUGAAUACGUGUAUUCAGCUGAAGGUACUGUACGAAUAAGGAUCGGCUAACUCCGUGCCAGCAGCCGCGGUAAUACGGAGGAUCCAAGCGUUAUCCGGAUUUAUUGGGUUUAAAGGGUGCGUAGGCGGAUUGAUAAGUUAGAGGUGAAAUGUCCGAGCUUAACUCGGGAACUGCCUCUAAUACUGUUGAUCUAGAGAGUAGAUGCGGUAGGCGGAAUGUAUGGUGUAGCGGUGAAAGGCUUAGAGAUCAUACAGAACACCGAUUGCGAAGGCAGCUUACCAAACUAUAUCUGACGUUGAGGCACGAAAGCGUGGGGAGCAAACAGGAUUAGAUACCCGAGUAGUC
rnacentral:rRNA from 1 species